rnacentral:rRNA from 1 species
AUUGAACGCUGGCGGCAGGCCUAACACAUGCAAGUCGAGCGGGGUUUUCGGACCUAGCGGCGGACGGGUGAGUAAUGCGUAGGAAGCUACCCGAUAGAGGGGGAUACCAGUUGGAAACGACUGUUAAUACCGCAUAAUGUCUACGGACCAAAGUGUGGACCUUCGGGCCACAUGCUAUCGGAUGCGCCUACGUGGGAUUAGCUAGUUGGUGAGGUAAUGGCUCACCAAGGCGACGAUCCCUAGCUGGUUUGAGAGGAUGAUCAGCCACACUGGAACUGAGACACGGUCCAGACUCCUACGGGAGGCAGCAGUGGGGAAUAUUGGACAAUGGGCGCAAGCCUGAUCCAGCCAUGCCGCGUGUGUGAAGAUGGCCUUCGGGUUGUAAAGCACUUUCAGUAGGGAGGAAGCGUUGUGUGUUAAUAGUACACAGCGUUGACGUUACCUACAGAAGAAGCACCGGCUAACUCUGUGCCAGCCGCCGCUGUAAUAC